rnacentral:misc_RNA from 1 species
AACGCACAUUGCGCCCCCUGGCAUUCCGGGGGGCAUGCCUGUCCGAGCGUCAUUUCUGCCCUCAAGCGCGGCUUGUGUGUUGGGUGUGGUCCCCCCGGGGACCUGCCCGAAAGGCAGCGGCGACGUCCGUCUGGUCCUCGAGCGUAUGGGGCUUUGUCACUCGCUCGGGAAGGACCUGCGGGGGUUGGUCACCACCAUAUUUUACCACGGUUGACCUCGGAUCAGGUAGGAGUUACCCGCUGAACUUAA